rnacentral:rRNA from 1 species
GACGAACGCUGACGGUGUGCUUUAGGCAUGCAAGUCGAACGAGAAAGCCCUUCGGGUGAGUAAAGUGGCGAACGGGUGAGUAACACGUGGGCAACCUGCCCCUCGCAGGGGGACAACCGGAGGAAACUCCGGCUAAUACCCCGUACGUUCCCAGGGUCGCAUGGCCCUGGGAGGAAAGGUAGCUUCGGCCAUCCGGCGAGGGAUGGGCCCGCGGUGCAUUAGCUAGUUGGUGGGGUAACGGCCCACCAAGGCGACGAUGCAUAGCUGGUCUGAGAGGAUGAUCAGCCACACUGGGACUGAGACACGGCCCAGACUCCUACGGGAGGCAGCAGCCAGGAAUCUUGGGCAAUGGGCGCAAGCCUGACCCAGCAACACCGUGUGGGCG